GAGUGUGAGGGAUAGGAGCAAAUAUCCUUUUUGUUUUUUCUUUAAAAACAAAAAGAUAUUGUGGAUAGCCCGACCCCGC
rnacentral:sRNA from 1 species